GGCACCCCUAAGUCCAAAAUUAAUUUUAAUUUUAUUAUUUCCUAUUUGUUUUAUCACUUUCUUGCUCUUAAUAAACCAAAUGACUAUAUUCUCUUAACCUUUAUAUCCCUCUCCUGUAGCUUUCCUCUGGAAUGUAUAUAUUAUAUAUUUAAAUAAAUGAAUUUUAAAUCAUACUAGUCUGAAUAAUAAGUAAUUAUAGCUAGUUUAGGAGGGAUGUUAAAGUGAGACCGUUUCCCCAGGAAGUUAUCACUGUGGUGAGAGUUGGGGGAAAGAUAUGACAAUUCUAAUUCAUUUCUCGGUCUUAAAAAACAGUUUUCACUAUGGAAUGAUGUUGACAGAGGUGGGAAGUCAGUGAAAGUCUUGGAAUUUAGAAGAAUUUCAGUAUGUUACUAAUAAUGAUUAAAUUUUGAGAUCUUUAGGUUUUUUUGGACACGGAAAAUAGGGAAACCUGUACCUUUGGAUUCAUGAUGGAUAACAUAAGACUAGAGUUUUUAGUAAAGAAGCAUUACCAAAGCUGAAAAAAAAUACCUGGUUUUGAUACACAUCUGAAUUAUACUUCCAAAUGGUCCCAUUUAAAGUUUGUGGAUUUCUUCGUGGAGAAAGUCGCCUUUGGGUUGAGCUGCCGGUCGUUCACAAGGUUAUUUGAGUUCGCUCCCAAGCACAUCUGCAAUUCAAAAUGUCGCACCCGUUCCCCCAAACUAAGCCCUCCAACCCCAGUAACCCCAGAGUCUUCUUUGAUGUGGACAUUGGAGGGGAGCGAUUUGGUUGAAUUGUCUUAGAAUUGUUUGCAGAUACUGUACCCAAAACUGCAGAAAAUUUUCGUGCAUUGUGUACAGGAGAAAAAGGCAUUGGACCCACCACUGGGAAACCUCCAUUUCAAAGGAUGCCCUUUCCAUCGAAUUAUUAAGAGAUUUAUGAUUCAGGGUGGAGACUUCUCAAAUCAAAAUGGGACAGGUGGAGAAAGUAUUUAUGGUGAAAAAUUUGAAGAUGAAAAUUUCUAUUGUAAGCAUGAUCAGGAAGGUUUAUUGAGCAUGGCAAAUGCAGGCUGCAAUACAAAUGGUUCUCAGUUCUUUAUCACAACAGUCCCGACUCCUCACUUGGAUGGGAAACAUGUGGUAUUUGGCCAAGUAAUUAAAGGAAUGGGUGUGGCAAGGAUACUGGAAAAUGUAGAAGUGAAAGGUGAAAAACCUGCCAAAUUGUGCAUUAUUGCAGAAUGCGGAGAAUUGAAGGAAUGGGAUGAUUGGGGCAUAUUCCCAAAAGAUGGCUCUGGUGACAGUCAUCCAGACUUCCCUGAGGAUGCAGAUACAGAUUUAAAAGAUGUAAAUAAAAUUUUACUAAUAACAGAAGAUGUAAAAAAUAUUGGAAAUACUUUUUUCAAAUCUCAGAACUGGGAGAUGGCCAUUAAAAAUAUGCAAAAGUUUUAAGGUAUGUGGAAGGUUCAAAGGCUGUUAUUGAGAAAGCAGAUAGAUUGAAGCUGCAACCUAUAGCUUUAAGCUGUGUGCUGAAUAUGGGUGCUUGUAAACUGAAGAUGUCAAAUUGGCAGGGAGCAAUGGACAGUUGUUUGGAGGCUCUUGAAAUAGACCCAUCCAAUACCAAAGCAUUGUACCCUAGAGCUCAAGGACGGCAAGGAUUAAAAGAAUACGAUCAAGCAUUGGCUGAUCUUAAAGCUCAGGAGAUAGCGCCAGAAGAUAAAGCUAUCCAGGCAGAAUUGCUGAAAGUCAAACAAAAGAUAAAAGCACCGAAAGAUAAAGAGAAGGCAGCGUAUGCAAAAAUAUUUGCCUAGUAAGAAAUUCAGUUUUACUUAAAUAUGCGUUGAUUGUUAUAUAAAGGCAAUAAGAAAAUUUAAAGGUUUUUGUCGGUUAUAUAUGAUCCCUGAUGUGUUUCCUUUGAUACUCCAGUUUCCCAUUGUUUACAGUUCAGGAAUACUGAAAAGAGUUCACUCUUAAUAAAACAGUGUUACAAAAUAAAUAAAUAAAUAAAGUUUGUGGAUUGCCUUUCCCCCUUUUUUUCUUCUAAACCUCUUUGCUG